rfam:Papilio machaon contig68663, whole genome shotgun sequence.
GCUCCAGUGGCGCAAUCGGUUAGCGCACGGUACUUAUAAGACAGUCACUGUAAGCUAUGCCGGGGUUGUGAGUUCGAGCCUCACCUGGAGCA